rnacentral:ncRNA from 1 species
GCCCUAUUGACAGCUUGAAACUGGCAACUGAUAGUGAGAAUCAGAUAGGGC